rnacentral:misc_RNA from 1 species
AUUUUUGGUCCUUUUGUGUGGGGGAGGGGGAGCAGGUCUGGAGACUGCUUUCAAUAAGUCAUACCAAAAGAAGGAUACAGGAGAAAUUAUAGCAUUUAGAUUGUUAGGAACACACCCUUUAUGAACUGGAGUGCUAUUACUCGCCACUUCAUCAUCCUUUCUAUCUUCAGACGUUGAGUUUCCAUCAGUCCUUUUGUUUGCGACAUCAGAUUCACCUUCUAUGUCUUCAAUUUCUUUGAUUUCGCUUACAAUAUGGGAAAUCUUUUGACCUUGGCUUUCCGCUUUUUCAAUGUUUGUGCUCUCUUGGUGUACUAAUUCA